UUAUUUUUUUUUUUUCCUUGACAGACUGGGGUGCAGCUGAUGAAGAUGCAGAAGAUGUGAAUGUGUGGGAGGACAACUGGGAUGACGACAACAUUGAGGAUGACUUUUCCCAGCAACUGAGAGCUGAGUUGAACAUCCAGCCAAUGCCACAGUAGUCCUGUGCGUCUAUACUGUAUGAGAGGAGAUGUGUGUAUUUUGUGUGAUUUUCAGUUAGGAUUUCUGCUAAUUUGUCAACACUGCUUAAAGGUGUAUUGUAUUAUCUAUGAAUAAAUGGUUUUAUAGAUAA